AACUGAUUUCAAUUUGCUUGCAAUCUUUUGAAUGAAACAAACAACCAAAUAAUGAUCGGAGCUACAACUAGACCUUGAACGAAAACCUAAACUCAAAACUCUCAUUUUGAUUUCUCCCUUUCUUACUCCCCCUUCCCUUUUCUCUUUUCUAAUUUUGUGUAUUCUAUCCUAUCUCUUUGUAUUGUGGUGUUAUAUAUGUAUGGUGUUGGUUUUGUAUUGUUUCCUCUAAAUGUUGUUGUCUAUGUGUAGUUUUCUUUGAGGUUGCUGAUUGUUUUUAGUUGUGAGAGAGUAUAGUAUGUAGGUAGUAGUGGUAAGUUUUCUAGAAAAAGAAACGUGAGGGGGUAGUAUUAGAUUG
rnacentral:lncRNA from 1 species